UGAAGCCUACGGGACGCAGCAGUGGGGAAUAUUGCACAAUAGGGGGAACCCUGAUGCAGCGACGCCGCGUGAGUGAAGAAGUAUUUCGGUAUGUAAAGCUCUAUCAGCAGGGAAGAAAAUGACGGUACCUGACUAAGAAGCCCCGGCUAACUACGUGCCAGCAGCCGCGGUAAUACGUAGGGGGCAAGUGUUAUCCGGAUUUACUGGGUGUAAAGGGAGCGUAGGUGGCAUGGUAAGCCAGAAGUGAAAACCCAGGGCUCAACUCUGUGGAUUGCUUUUGGAACUAUCAAGCUAGAGUGCUGGAG
rnacentral:rRNA from 1 species